UAAUACGAGGGGUGCAAGCGUUGUCCGGAAUCACUGGGCGUAAAGGGCGCGUAGGCGUCCCGAAAAGCCCUGAUUGAAAUCUUUCGACUCAAUCGGAAAACUGGUCAGGGAACUAUCGGGAUUGAGUUUGGUAGAGGAGAGCGGAAUUCCUGGUGUAGCGGUGAAAUGCGUAGAUAUCAGGAGGAACACUGACGGCGAAGGCAGCUCUCUGGGCCAACACUGACGCUGAGGCGCGAAAGCGUGGGGAGCAAACAGGAUUAGAUACCCUGGUAGUCCACGCCGUAAACGAUGAGCACUUGGUGUUGGAGGAUUCGACCCCUUCAGUGCCGUAGCUAACGCGUUAAGUGCUCCGCCUGGGGACUACGACCGCAAGGUUG
rnacentral:rRNA from 1 species